UUACCAAGAAACAACAAAUUCAGUAACCCACAAGCUUGAAGAACAAAAGGAAAAGUACAGGAAUCAGGUGGAAAAUUGAAGUUGUCAUUGUUGUUCACGUGGAAAUUCAGUAACCCACAAGCUUUAACCAUGGAAGUUGUUGUUGUUCAUUGGGAAAAAUUGAAAUUCCCCGUCCAGCCACUAAUUCAGCUUGUUCGAAUGGAAGUUGUUGUUGUUCAUUGGGGAAAAUUGAAGUUUUCAUUGUUGUUCAGGUAGAAAUUCAGUAACCCACAAGCUUUAACCAUGGAAGUUGUUGUUGUUCAUUGGGAAAAAUUGAAAUUCCCCGUCCAGCCACUAAUUCAGCUUGUUCGAAUGGAAGUUGUUGUUGUUCAUUGGGGAAAAUUGAAGUUUUCAUUGUUGUUCAGGUAGAAAUUCAGUAACCCACAAGCUUUAACCAUGAAAGAAGUUAUUGUUGAUGGAUUGUUGCUACACCGGUAGCGGUGGUGCGGCAGUGGAGAGAUGGAGAAGAGAAGUAGAGAGAUGGAUGGAGACGAUCGAAAACUUAACCUCAUUUUAAUUUUUAUUUAUUUUUUAAUUUUUAAUUUAAAUUUUUUAUUUUUUUAACAUUUAAUUUCUUAUGUG
rnacentral:lncRNA from 1 species